rnacentral:lncRNA from 1 species
AAGCAAAGCCGUAGAUAUCCUCUUCCUGCUACACAUAGUAUUAGCCUACGUAAGGUCAUUACGGCGCCGUUUCCCUUUUUAAUUGGCGUAGUUCAACUCAUCAUCCACCCAAGUUCAUUUCGUUCAAAGCUAUAAAUAACCCCUCAAACCAUUCAACUUUCCCACCACCACUCCUCACUCCUUCAACUCAUUAACCUCUCUCUCUCUCUCUCCUUCAACUCAUUAACCUCUCUCUCUCUCUCUCUCUCUCUCAUUUUCAUCCGCAAAUGGCGAACCGUAGAAGCCUCUUUUCUCUCUCACUUAUCUUUGUGUUCAUGAUCAACUCAGCCAUAGCCACUCCAGUCACAUACAAUGUGGCCAGUUUAGGAGCCAAAGCAGAUGGCAAGACUGACUCCACAAAAGCCUUCCUCUUUGCAUGGGCUAAAGCUUGUGCCUCGAUGAAUCCCGGUGUCAUUUAUGUGCCGGCAGGAACGUUCUUUCUUCGCGAUGUGGUGUUCAGUGGGCCUUGCAAGAACAAUGCCAUCACCUUCCGCAUUGCCGGAACCCUUGUGGCCCCGUCGGAUUACCGGGUCAUCGGUAAUGCAGCUAACUGGAUUUUCUUUCACCAUGUAAACGGGGUUACCAUAUCAGGUGGAAUUCUUGACGGCCAAGGCACGGCCUUGUGGGCUUGCAAGGCCUCUCAUGGCGAGAGUUGUCCCAGCGGAGCAACGGUAAUUAAUUCACUACUUUAAAUAUCAUAUUCAUGACACCAUUAAAUAUCAAAUUCAUGACACCAUUAUUUUGUGCUUCAUUAUUAGUGAGAAUUUUAAAGGUCAACGUACGUACAAUUUGCUUUAUUAUUUGCUACCAAUUGAAUUGAGGGUUUAUAAAAUAAGUUUAAACUCUACAGAACGUAAUCAAAUGGACAUGAUAAAUUGUACCACAAGCUUAGCUUGAUCAAGUAAUUUCGUGUAUAUAUGUGCAGACUUUGGGUUUUUCCGACUCAAACAACAUCGUGGUGAGUGGAUUGGCAUCCCUAAACAGCCAAAUGUUCCACAUAGUCAUCAACGACUGCCAAAAUGUGCAAAUGCAAGGUGUCAGGGUUUCUGCUUCCGGGAACAGCCCUAACACCGAUGGCAUUCAUGUCCAAAUGUCAUCUGGUGUCACAAUCCUCAACUCCAAGAUUGCAACCGGUGACGAUUGUGUCUCAAUUGGCCCCGGAACCUCAAAUUUGUGGAUAGAAGGCGUUGCUUGUGGACCUGGCCAUGGAAUUAGGUACGACAUCAAAAUUAUAUAUUUAUCCAUGAUUGAUCAAACUAGCUAAAUGCAUACUAUUUCAUAAUAUAUGUUAUAAUGUAUAUCUUUUUUCUUCGUUGCUUAAUGACAUUUGAACUUAGGACAUCUUUCAAUAAAGUGGAGAUUAAUUGGUUGCUAGUAGAGAUUCAUUGCCUACAAAAAGUAUAUCUUUCUUUUGGGUGGAUGUUCUAGUUGUAAAUUUAACAUUGCUUUAUUUGAUGGUUCAGCAUUGGAAGUCUAGGCAAGGAGCAAGAAGAGGCCGGUGUACAAAAUGUAACAGUUAAAACGGUUACCUUUACUGGUACUCAGAAUGGUCUAAGAAUCAAGUCAUGGGGGAGGCCAAGCACUGGGUUUGCUAGAAAUAUUCUUUUCCAACAUGCUACAAUGGUCAAUGUCGAAAAUCCUAUUGUCAUAGAUCAACAUUAUUGCCCCGACAACAAAGGGUGCCCUGGUCAGGUAAGAUAUCAUUCUUGCUCUAACGGUCAAUUCCCAGAGUUUAAUAUUACAACUAAAUUUUCUCUUCUUCACUUUCAUAGUGUAACGUUUUUGAUAAAAACGUUGGCAUCGCCAAAUUAUAACUGUCUAAUUUCGAAACAUAUCAAAAGCUUUCUUGGGCUUCCACCUAGAAGAGCCAAUAAUUUUAGACCCAAAGCAAAUCCAAUAACUCCUUCUUCCAUGGGCUUGCUCUCCUACUACUUACAAAGGUCGAGCCUUGCCCAUUGUAACCUUUGUAACUUAUUAAUUUCAUUGUAUGUGCAAUGAGAUUGAGGGUUGUAGCUUAAGUGGUUAACAAUAUUUACUCAUGUAUUCGAAGUUCUAGAUUUAAUUCCCCUCUUUUCCAAUACCAUUUUUAUCAAAAUGACUUCAUCGUAGCUUAGCCAAAAAAGCAUUAAACUUCCCAUUAAGCCGAAUUACCAUGCUAUAAUGCUUGUUCACCUUCUGUUUUAUCAAAAGCUGGAAAUCUGACUUCCUAUUGUUUUUUUUCUUUUGUCAAUUUUGUUUUUCGAUAGGUUUCCGGAGUUCAAAUUAGCGAUGUGACAUACGAAGACAUACACGGUACAUCAGCAACAGAAGUUGCAGUAAAAUUUGAUUGCAGUCCCAAGCACCCUUGCAGCGAGAUCAAAUUGGAGGAUGUGAAGCUUACUUACAAGAACCAAGCAGCUGAGUCUUCAUGUAGCCAUGCAGAUGGAACAACUGAGGGUGUGGUUCAGCCUACAAGUUGUUUGUAGAGUGGAAAAAUAUGAACUGCUUGUAGAAGUAUUGAAAUCCAAAAGUUUGCCCUCCAGUACUAAGGACAAAUGAAAAGUGAAUUAUACGAUUUAUAUAGGAAGAAUGAGCUUGUGUUGUUGGCAGCCUACUUGGGCUUCCCUUGAGCCUGGCCGUUCAAUUAGUUUAGUUUGUUCAAACUCGUCCACUUCGAUGGGUGUUUAUGUUAUGAAUUGUUGUAAGAUUAUGUUCGGGAUACGUUAAAUUUAUAAGAUUAAAUUUUAUGUUGAUGGCUAAUGUGGCAUUUGACAUAGGAUUCAAUAUUCUAUCAAUUUAAUUCACAAUUUUAUUAUAAUCGAAGCACACAUUAAAUAGUAAAAAUUUGGUUCAAGAAACAAAAGGAUUUGAAGUCUCGCAUGAACUUUUUGGUUGGAGCAUUUUCUCAUGUCAAAUUUUACCCGUUAAAAAUUUAUUAUGAUAUUUUAACAUUUCGGUUGGAGUAUUUUUUUCAUGUCAAAUUUGACCCGUUAAAAAUUUACUAUGGUAUUUUAGCAUUUCGGUUGGAGAUGUAUAAAUCUUAAAAAUGCAUUCAAGAUGCAUUUUUGUUUCUUAAGCUUUGAGCUUUAGGUAAUUAACUUUAAAUGUUGUUGGGCACCUUGCACUAGUUGAUUAAAGAAAAAUAGACCCGAAGCAAGAUUCCUUGUAGUUGCCAAUUCGAAGUUUUCUUUAUCGCUACAUACUUACUGGUCUACAAGUUCUCUCUCUAAUACAUAAUUUGACAUAAAUAAAUACAGUGAAGAGUGCAUUGACUAAACAGAAAAAAAAACAAAAAAAGCAGCACGUAAGCAAUUACGUGCAUUUGGUGUAAAAGCUAAAGGCCUCUGAUUUAUGUAAGCAGUUACGGUAAUCAUAUUAUAUUAUAUGUAUCUUAGUUCUGCAAUUGUAACAGGAAUAAUAUUGUUUUGUUAUCCCCAAUCAAUAAUACAAUGAUACGUGAAAAAGUUAUUUAACAUGUCAUUGCGUUAUUAGCUGGGGAUAGCAAACAGUGCUAUCCCCAUUACAUGAAAGUCUUUCUCCUGCAUAUCCUAUUAUACUAUUAUAAAACUCAAUUGGUCAAUCAUAGUGAAAAAAAUAUAGUGAAAGAAAAAAGAAGAAGAAGAAAAUAUCAAUUAAGCCCCUCUUAUAUUGAACACUUCAAUAAUAAAAUAAAAAUUGCAUAUGGAGUAAAGUCAGUCAGUUAAGAUAGUAUGCUAGUUCUUUUGCACCUGAGUUCAAUUUCCUUCCCCGAACAUUUUCAAAUAAAUAAUAAUAAAAUAAAAUGUGAAUUUGAUAGUCAAUGUCGUAGUAAAAUAUGGUUUUUUAGUAUCAAUAUUAAGGAAAGCCAUUGUUCUUUCUAGCAGAAUGCCCGCCACUGCUAGAGAGAGAGAGAGAGAGAGAGCGGAAUGGCAGAAGUGAGUAACAAGCAGGUGAUACCGAGGGAGUAUGUCACUGGCUUUCCCAAAGAGUCAGACUUGUACGUGAAUAGCACUGCUACUAUCAAGUUGAAGCUUUCUGAGGCCCCCGAGCAUGAGGGUUCUUCAAAGAAACUAGUUCUAGUGAAGAAUCUUUACUUGUCCUGCGAUCCCUACCAACGACUAUUUAUGGAAAGAAUCGAAGGCCUCAGCAGCCAAUCCACUUCCUCCUAUACGCCUGGUUCUGUAAGCAAAACCCAUCAUAUAUCUUUUCCUUUCAAUUUCUGUAAACAUAUAUACCAAAUGUUAUGCUCAAAUAUAUAUUAAUUGUUAAACAUUGUUCCCUUAAAAAAAACAAUUUAUUGCAAAAUUGGAAUAUACAAGAGGUAACUCUGCACAAAUAUUAAUGACAAGAUGAGGUGGCUAAAAGCACUGUUAAUGUCUAUCAGCGCGCAAUGAGCACGAAUAACUGUGAUUAUUAAGUAGUAGGAGCUGAUAGUUGUUUUUGUUACCACAUCCUAUGCCACAAAUAUUAAUUAUUACCAAUUAUUCUUCUAGUAAUGCUUGUUUUUUUGUUGAUGGCAACAUUGGGAGGAGGGAAUCAAAUACAAGUUUGAUCAUAUGAUUAAUUUAAUUUUGUUGGUGUAAACGUGCAGCCAAUAUACGGGUAUGGAGUGGCUAAAGUUUUGGACUCUGGGCACCCAGAUUUGAAGGCAGGUGACUUAGUUUGGGGGACUACCUAUUGGGAAGAGUACAGCCGAAUCCCUGAACCCGAAGGCCUGAUCAAAAUCCAGCACACUGAUGUACCUCUAUCCUAUUAUACUGGAAUUCUUGGUAACAAGUCAAACCUAUUUUAGAUCAUGAUGAUAUGUGUUGGUUUAGAUACGUAAGUGUAUUUUUUGUAAUUUCAUUUCAGGUAUGCCUGGUUUGACCGCUUAUGUUGGUUUCUAUGAAAUUUGUUCUCCUAAGAAAGGAGAACAUGUCUUCAUUUCAGCAGCAGCUGGUGCUGUUGGUCAGCUUGUUGGACAAUUUGCAAAAUUAAUGGGUUGUUAUGUUGUUGGAAGUGCUGGCAGUAAGGAAAAGGUACGAACUUGAGAAAUCUUUGAACUUCAAAUUAAUAUUAUCUACACCAUUUUUUCUUGUUUGGGUUGUAUUUUGCUGUUGUUAUUUGGGCCAACUUUGGUGUUGGUUUGGUUUGGGGCCUCUGUUUGUGCGCUGGGACUACAAUGAGUGGAAAGUUAUAAGGGGUAAGUUAUAAGGGGUUCACUUUAUAGCCAUCAGAUCAAUCCAAGGGCUGGGGAGAAUUGAGAUAAAGUUUCACAAUUGGGUAGGUGAGGAACCCAAACCCGAAUUGAAUAUCCAGCACGUCCAAAAAGAAGAAGAAGAGGGAAACACGUUCGAAAAAGAAGAAGAAGAGGCAAGUUCGAAGUUUGAACAGAAAGAACUCAUCUCUCUAAAACCCAGAGGUCUGAGAUACCCAAUGAAGGCAACGGCUAACGACAGUUGAAGGCAACGAUUCGCCACUCCGUUCUCCAGACCCUGAAAAAGUAUUUAUUUGGAGUAGAAGGGGCAAAGGUGUGGAUUCCAAAUCAAUGAAGGGGCGAAGCAGUGGAAGGGGAAGGGGAGAAGCUAUAAUCGUUGGAAGUGGUAGGUUCCAUUUGUGGAGCAAAGAAACAGAAAGACCCCACACAGACACCUUGCAAUAACCAGCAUUUGGUGAGUAAUUUAUGGAAUUUGAGUUUAGGGUUAGAGUAAUGGUUUUCCUCAAUUUGUAGCAUAAAUUUUGUUGGAUUUGGCAUCUCUUCGUUGUGCUUGAGUUGCAUGUUAAUUUUUGCUUAGGUAUAUGUUAAAAAAAGAAUGAAAAUCAAGUCAAUAACAAGUGAAUAACAUGUCAAUAAUGAUAUGAAUAAGAUAAUGGUGUUGAAUUGGAGGAGGCCCUCAAAACCUUCCACAUUUGAAGCAGUGCAUAGUGCAGAUUAAGAAGAGGCGGUAGAAUAUAUAUAUAUAUAUAUAUAUAUAUAUUUUAUGAAGUAAAUAUGAUUUCCUUUGUUACUAAAUUUGCCUGAGAAACAUUUGAACAGAUAAUAAUAAACUCAUGAAUAGAAGUGCAAAGCAUUUGAUGAGUAAUUUAAGGAAUUUGAGUUUAGGGUUAGAGUAAUGGUUUUCCCCAAUUUGUACCAUCAAUGUUGUUGGAUUUGGCAUCUCUUAUUUGUGCUUCAAUUGCAUGUUAAUUUUUGCUUGGGUAUAUGUUAAAAAACGAAUGAAAAUAGAGUCAAUCACAUGUCAAUAACAUCUCAAUAACAUGUCAAUAACAUGUUAGUAAUGAUAUGAAUAAGAUAAUGGUGUUAAAUUGGAGGAGGCGCUCAAAACCUUCCACAUUUGAAGCAGUGCAGAGUGAAGAGUACCUCUCUGGCCCUAGAAUUUAUAUAUUUUGUGAAAUAAAUAUGAUUUCAUUUGUUACUAAAUUUGCCUAUGAGAAAUGAGAACAGAUAAUAAUAAACUCAUGAAUAAAAGUGCAAAGCAUUUGAAAUGAAGGUUGAUCUAUGACGAUUGUGGGUGACUGAAGAAAAAGCUAGAAAGAAAGAAGGAUGUGGCAAUUGCUUAGCAAGCAGAUAGCAGAGUAGAUGCUUUGCUUUGCUUCCUUCCACUAUAUUUCUUAUUUAUUUAUUUUGUGUUGUGUAUGAGAUGACAAUAAUUGUCAUGUGUGUGAAGUGCAGAACUUGCCUACAUUGCACUCACACGAGUAUGGAUCCAUAAAUAAAACACGUGAAAUUGUUUGUAAUUCACAUAAUCAUUGCAUUAACAGGUAUUUGCACAAAAUUUGUCAUAUUGCUUUGAUGAUGUUAAAGCCUAUGAUCAGUAAUCCGUAUGCUCAUGUACUUUGUAAAAUUUGUAAUGUGCCUGGUUGACUAGUUGUGAUUGUGCAAAUACGUGGCAGUAUAUGUGUUCACGUUAUUUCACAUUGUAUUUGAGGAAAUGGGAUCCAACGUGGAGCUGGUAUGGCCAGAGGCAGAGGCAUAUUCGUCACGGGUGAACAACUGCUCACAUGCAAAUUCAUCUCUAGCUGCAAUUCGAGCGAAGUUGAGUGCGGAACAAUUAGAACAAUUCAAGACAUCAUGCUUUGGCCAUCUUCUGAAUAUAGAUAAGAUUCAGUUUAGCGGGCAGAUUGUGCAUGGGGCUGUGUUGCGUAGAGUAGCGGGGCAGGGUGUGAAAGACUUGGAUGGACUGAGUUUCUUAUUAGGGUGUGACGUUGCUCAGUUCACUCGUCAGGAUUUCUGUUUGAUCACAGGGCUUCGUUUUGGGGAAGUGCCUGAAGUUUCCAGUGGAGAGAGUGAUGUAAUCAGACUUCAGAAAAGAUAUUUUAUAGACGAAGGAAUUACAUGCAAUGCUUUAGAAGAAGCAUUUAUGGGGUGCACAGAGGAAGAUGACAUCUACAAGCUAGCUCUUGUUUACUUUGCUGAGUUAGUGGUUUUGGGAAGGGACAAACAUUUGAACAUCAAUCUAAAUUACCUGACCCUUGUAGAGGACUUGGAUGCGUUCAACAGGUAUCCGUGGGGUUCGGUGUCCUUUGACAAAACCCAAGACAGUCUAUUUUCUGCACCAACAAAGUAUGUGAAAAGCUUGCAAAAUGAAGAGGGAAGAGGGAAGGGGAAAAGUAAGGUAACGGGAACAAGCCGGAGAAAUGAGAAGGGCAGGAAGGAUAAGCAUGGUGAAGCGCAAAGGAGUGGCUGGAGUUUUAAAGGUUUCACGUAUGCUUUCCAGGUACAUGGUAAUAAUGUUCAUGUGAGUUAUGUUUUGUUUUUCUUUAAAACAUAAAUAAUGACUUUUGUCCUGUGAAUUGUGUAGAUUUGGGUAUAUGAAUUAAUUCCUAGAAUGGCGGACCUGAAUUACUGCAAGGUUGUUGAUCCGACCGCUGUCCCGCGUAUUUUGCGAUGGAGAACUACUACGUCUGUUCCAGAGAUGAGAAAGUUGAACAAUUAUUUUUUCCAGAGCAAAGAGGUUUGGUUUGCAGCCCUUGGAACUAUUGAUAAGAUUGAAUGAAAUUUUGAAGUAGAAUGAUUUAAUAUGACUGUGGUUUGUAUUCUGAAACAGUCAGUUCAGUUGCGGGCGCUAUGUCCGAGUGAAGAGGAAAUGAGACAGCCAUAUUGGAGUUGGCCACAGGAUCGCCCUGAUGAGACAGCCAUAUUGGAGUUGGCCACAGGAUCGCCCUGCUGUUGUCUCGGCAGAGUCAAUUCCUUCUUUAUGUGGUGAUCUUGAUCAGUUGAACAAGGUGGUAAGCUUGUUGAGGUCCGAGUUGUUUCAAGUAAAGCGGGAAAAAGACGUCCUUCACUUAAAGGUCAUACGGAUGGAAAAACUGUUGGACCAAUGUUUAGGUCCUCAGUUUGAGCAGGAAGUAAGGAGGGACCUAGCUUUACUGAAACAGAGGACGAAGCGUUGUGUCGUCUCACAUCUAUUUAGGGGAUAUCGGGAAUUGGAUGACAUUCAAUGGGAUGAAGGGCCAAGUAACAGAAAUGAGGGAGAGGAAAAGGAAGAUGAAGGGAUUGAAGGGGGUGAAGGGCCAAGUAAUAGAAAUGAGGGAGAGGAAAAGGAAGAGGAGGGGAUUGAAGGAGAGGAAAAGGAAGAGGAGGGGAUUGAAGGGGGUGAAGUGCAAGGAAUACCAAGUGAGGUAGAGGAAGGGCAAAGGAAAAGAAGUGAAGGAGAGCAAGUGCAAGUAAAAAGUAGCAAAGGAGAGGAAGCCCAAAGACAGAGCAGUGAGGGAGAGGAAGUGAAAAGAAAAAGCAGUAAGGGAGAGAAACUGCAAAGGAAAAAAAGGGAGGGCAAGGAAGUGAAAACACAAAGAAGUGAGGAAAAGGAAGUGCAAAGAAACCAAUGUGAGAAAGAAGAUAAUGAAGUUAUGUUGCUUGGGGAUGACAUUGGCGAGAGCACGGAGGGGACACUGCUUGAGUUUACUGUCGGGGACAUUGAUUUGGAUCAACCUACAGCUGUGCUAUCUCAGUUGAACGUGUGGUUGAAUGAUAAAGGUAAAGCUGUGGCACAAGGGGUCCAAUUACGGAAAAGGAAGAGGAUCAUUCCUAUGUGGAAGAUCAUUGAAGGCAUUGAAUUGGUUCCAAAAACUGGGGCACAGACAACCGGACUGAAGAUGUUAGACCCAAUGAAGGCGAUUCCGCAUGAUGAUCUGGUGAAUUUGCUGAAACUUUGUUGGGAAUGGCGCCAGGACCCAAAGUAAGUCCCUUGCAAUUAUAAGAUAGAAGCACGACUGUAUAUAAUUUUUAAUAUACAGUGUUCUAAAACUGUUUUAUAUUCAUAGUUUAGUGAUGCAAUUUGGCAACGUGGAAGCUGAGAUUGAAUUCUUCGCUUCCCUCGUGAAAGCUGAUGGUUGGCUGAAAGGAGAUGUAAGUGUAAUUGAUUAUGCAUUUGUUUUAAUGUAUAUAGAUUAUGAGAUUGACAAGAACAACAUGUUGCAGCACAUUGAGUUGGGGUUGUAUCUCAUCCGGAAGCGACAACAACAGUUUGAGGAAGUAGAAAUAGCGGACUGGACAACGACAGAUGUUUUUUUUAUGGUAUGUCAUCGGCCUUGACCAAGUGCCGUUAAUAAUUACACAUUUUCCAUACAGACAAUAGUGGAGGUGUUUAACCAUUGAUUGUUUUGUAUUUCACAGAAUCACAUUCGAACUUGCUUUGCGGAUAAUAAAAGAAAAAAACAGCAGCUUGGGUGGAAAAUCAGAAAAAGUUUACUAAACGUUGUAAAUGGGAAGGUUCCUCCGUGUGGGAUGGAUUGGCAGAACGUCUAUACGGUGUAUACCCCAGUUAUGUUGACGAAGUACAAGCAUUGGGUGGCUGUAAUGAUUGAUCUGGUAUUGUGUGAAAUCAAAGUGUACGAUUCAAAGGUUUCACUAAUUCCAGAUGACAUCGUAAAGGAAGAACUCGCCCCGCUAUCAAUUAUGCUUCCAAAUCUUCUCAACACCAUCGACUUUUAUGAAGAAGGUGUUUAUGCAAACAAUUGCAUGCGAGAUUGGUGGUGUCCGUGGCCAAUAGAGCGUGUGGAUGUUCCACAACAGUCUAAUGAGUAAGCACAACUUGCAAUUUAAUUUUAUUACUUUCAAUUGUCAAUUACGUUAGAAUGUCAUUAGUUGAAUUGAUCGAGUUCUUGUUUUGCUUCAGAGGCGAUUGUGGCAUGUUUGUGUUAAAGUACAUUGAGCUUAUCAGCGCUCAGCUUUCGUUAGCUAUUUGCACCUCGCACAACAUGCCUUUUUUUCGGUUGAAAUUGGCUGCGGAGAUAACAAGGGGAGAUGCUUACUUCCCAUGAUAUUGGUUGAAGAUGACAAAUGGUACAUGAGAAGGUUUUGGGAAUGUCCAUUCUCAAACUAAUGUAAAUACACAAUAGAGACGUACGUGUCCUUUUCGAAUUCUACCGCUAACUCCUUCAUGACAUUUACAUGUUUGUUAACCAAACUGCAUUGAAUUGGAAUUUUAAGACUGCAUAUGUUAAUUGGGAUUUGAAGAUGGCUUUUUAAGUGUAUUACACCAUUGCAAAGUGAUAUGUCAUUGUUGAUGCAAGCCACCAUUAUUCGCAAUGAGUUGCAUCAUAAUAGGUGUGUAAACAUGCGAAAGGUUUUCGGCAGCUCAGUAGCAUAAAAGUAGAAACAAUUACAAUAUACACAAAAUGAACAACAAUUCACUUGCGUUUGGACAAGCAAUACAGACACAACAGACAAACAAUAUACACAAAAUUGGCCUGCCAUAUACAGACAUACACACAGUAGACAUGCAAUAUACACACAGUAGACAUGCAAUAUACACACAAUAGACAUGCAAUAUACACACAAUACACAUGCAAUAUACACACAAUACUCCCUUAACACACACAAUAGACAUGCCCUUGCCCACAAUAAUGAUGCAAUAUACUUCAGUCCCCAAGUACACCAACCAUAAGGAAGUCGUAUUGAAUAGGAUAUUAAACUUAACAGUUGUUCUUCCUACUAAAAGAAAGAAUAACGUCCGUUUCCCCCCUUCAUUCUUACUUCAGUGAUACUUGUGGCCCCAAUAAACAUCCAAUAUUGGGUCAAGGAUAUUCCAUAUACAUGCAGCAAACUAUCAAUAAACCUUCAAUAAACAUUCAAUAUCGGUUCUAUAACAUGCGAAAUACAUGCAGUUAACAAAUAUUACAAAAUGGGUUUAGGGUCUCAUUGGUGGUGCGUGCAACAUGUCUUGUGCGGAAGAACUUUCACAAUCUUUGAAACCAUGCAGUUAAAUGAUCCUUAAAAGAACAAAUAAAAUGACAAUUGAUACAACUAAUAAAACUAAUACCAAGUCCUUAAUGGACUUCAGCAUGUUCAGCACUCUAGCAUCAUACGUGUCAUCUUGAUGUUCUGCUUCAGCGGAGGUUACAUCAACCCAUUCGAAUCCAUUGCAACUGGUGGCUCCCUAAUUGCAGGCAUCAUAUAUGGAAUAUAAUUCUGUUAGAGUUAGACAUGGGUUUAUUUUGACCCACAUACAUAUUAUUGAAAUUAAAACUUACAUAGGAGGUUAGACACUUCCAGAAUGGCUUCCCUCGAUUUUUGUCAGAUUUUGAAACCCGAAGCACCAUUGUAGCUCCACAAUACUGACACCUCUUUGUUUGAGCAGGAGAUGAAGACGAAGACAUGUUGAAUCUUCUCAGUUGUACCUCUUCUCACUCAGAUCUUCUCACUGAAACCUCUUCGGACUCAUACCUUCUCACUCAUCGUUGUCAUUCAUACCCCUUCACUCAUAACCCUAAACUUGUCACUCAGCUCUCUCUCAUCUCUGCCCAAAUCGAGUUAUAUUUCUUUUUUUUGGGAUCAUUUGGUGGGUUGGUCACGAUCUCGACACCCGUACCGUCGGCAUUGCGACAUCUUUUAGCCCGAAAAGCAAUAUAAACUACUUCACUACCAAAUAUAUUUUCUGAAAAAUGAGGGGACACUGCUUCAAAUUUAUUAUUUUAUAUAUAUUUCAUUAAGGCAACUAGUUGGAUAAGAAUCCGUCAUUAUUGGUUCCAUUUGAAUAACAUUACUAGGGGUAGUUGGGUGUGGGAAAAUGAAAAAGUAUAUGAUGGGACCUUCUGUCACUACUCAGUAAUCCAUCACAUUUGUAUCAAUGAAUUUGAUAGUGGGAUAAUCCCACAAAUGGCUAUGCAAAUAGCCAUUUAAUGAACUUUUUGACUGUCUGACUCUGUAUGCACCGUUAUGACGUUUUCCCUUCUUUUGUCUUCAGUUUUAAUUCACUUGGGUUCAGUUUCUUUAAAAAUGGUCAACUUGGAAAAACCCCAACUGGAAACACCUUUUCAAAACACUAUAAACAGAGGCUAAAACAAAACGUGUACCCCAAAUAUUCUCAUUUAUCCCCUCUGCCACUCCUCAAAUCGUUCCAUUCCAAAAACUUUUCAAUGAAUUCGAAACACUUCACUACAGUCGGAGGAAAGAGAAGGAAGCAUCUCCAUUUCGAUAUGCCCGAAGCCUUCAUCCCGGAGUCCGCUUGGUUUCAAGUGAUGUUAUACGUGGCAACCGAAUCAUCGGAAGAUCUCUUCCGUAUGGCAUCUGUGUGCCCAUUGUUCCAAACUUUGGCAAACAGUCCACAAGUGUGGAACACCAUUUCAAUGGCAAAGUACCCACACCAUCCUAGCUGGUACCGUGCCAGACCUGCGGUCCAGCAUUUCUUGCAACAAUGCAGGGCUUGCGAUAACCCUGAGUCGAUAUUUAGAGAAGCAUUCGAUAUUUUUUUCAGGGCCAGUAAGGUGGAAGCGUUGUAUGGGAUGCGCAUUGCAGCCACGGCAGGCCAUAUGGAAGCGGCAUAUGUAGUUGGACUACUUGGUAUAUCCGGAAUUGGUCAGUCAAAAGAGGAUGCAUUACAAUUCUUGUGUUCUUUGAAUCAACGUAACAACAUUGAUAUGAAAGGAACCAGGGAUGCUUUGACACGAAGAUUAACCGGACCAAGAGUUGCAAGACAUAUCGUAGAUAUAUUUGACUAUGGGAAGAUUAAGUUCAAUCGCUGCAGCACUUGUAACAACAAUGAAUGGUAUUUUGUUAUUCAAGGCUGGCCUAGUGAAGACAAGAUAAAUCCUGCCUUCUAGACUUGUUGCAAUCGAUGCAAAUGGCACCGUGAGAGUAUUUUUUGGUUCAAACUGAUGCGUGAGUAUGUUGUGCGAGGGAAUCAUGUAUUUUUGCAUUAGUUUUAGUACGAAUUUACGGUUUUGAUGCAUUGUGGACUUACUUCUCUUCACUUCUAGGUUGGCUGGCUACGUUGUACAAAUGUUGUUUAAAUGUUGUUUAAAUGUUGGUAUUUUGUCAUAAACCGUUUUAUAUAUAAAUGUAUAAUAUUUAUUAUAUAGCGGAAUUAUUACUUACAUCAUAGACGGCUACGAAUGACAUUUUACUGACACAGAUAUUUUGCUCACCCACCCCAAUAUUCAUAUUUGGUAAACGAAAAGUCAUGCAUGGAGUAAAUAGGUGUCUUUUCACCAAUGCUUGGGAAUGACAUUUUCCCACUUAGCAUAUUCGACAGGAUUUGGUUACACGUUUCUUAAGCAAAAGUUGAACAGUGAAUGACGUUGAAUAAUUUGUUUGUGUGGAAGGAGUACAAUGGAUGACUUGUAUAUUUCCAUAUUAUGUUUGAAAACAUCCCUUCAACCUAAAAAAUAAAAAAAUUAACAAAUUGAAGAACAGAGAAACCGAUGAGCACUACAAAUGGCCUAUUCGCACGGAAAAUAAAAUUGUUUUAAACAAGUUGGACUAAAUAUAAUUAACAAAUGGACAGCCUAAAAAGUAAUAUCAUAAUAAUUAUAAUAAUUGUGGAUUAAUAAUAAUAAAAUACUAAUGUAGCAUAACCAUGAAACAGGGAAUUCAGUAGGAAGAUGAAAUCUCAAUAAGUUCGUUGAAAUGUUCGGAUCGUUUUUCUAAUUUUUGUGUAUUUAGUUCUGAAUUUUCCAAGAAAAAAAGUAAUUAAAUAAUAAUUUAGGGUAAAAUGGGAUGAUGUGGCCAUGUUGACUGACGUACACUUGUGCAAGUACUCAUAAGUGAGGGGCUGAGAUCGCGCCAGGUGUCUUCUUGGAAUUAGGGUUGGCUAUUUUAGUGGAAAAAUCCUUGAAAAUAGGUAAAAAAUAGUAGGAAAUUCCUAUUCUAGGUUGGGAAAAUUACCCGCGCCUCCUUGUGACGUCAUAAAACUAGGAGAACCUAUAAAUCAUCCGUCUCGCAAUGAAAUAAUCCAAAAUGUUUUACAUAACUCACUUCCCUCUUUACCCUAAGUAUUGAUGUUUGUUAACUUGAACUUCAAUAACCUACUUCAACAAGCAUCUCCCGUUAAUGUUGGGAAUAAUUGUCUAAAAUGCGUAACAAUGAAUCGGAGAAUUCAGCAAGGGAGAUGGAGUGUCAAUGAGUUCGUAGCAAUUUUCGGAAAUAAUUUUGAAUUUUUGUGUAUUUAGUUAUGAAUUUUGUAAGACAAAGUAAUAAAAUAAUAAUUUAGGGUAAAAUGGGAGGAUGUGGCCAUGUUGACUGACGUACACUUGUGCAAGUAGUCAAAAGUGCCGGGCUGAGAUCGCGCCAGGUGUCAUCUUCUUUUCAAUUUUGGAUUCUUUUGUUAAAAAAUCUUUGAAACUAAGUAAUAAAUAGUAGGAAAAUCCUAAAAAUGCCCCCAAAAUUACUCCGGCCUACUUGUGACGUCAUAAAACUAGGAGAACCUAUAAAUCAUUCGUCUCGCAAUGAAAUAAUCCAAAUUGUUUUACAUAACUCACUUUCCUCUUAACCCUAAGUAUUGAUGUUUGUUAACUUAAACUUGAAUAACCUACUUCAACAAGCAUCUCCCGUUGAUGUUCGGAAUUAUUUUUAAAAAUGCGUAACAAUGAAUCGGAGAAUUCAGCAAGGGAGAUGGAGUGUGAAUGAGUUCGUAGCAAUUUUCGGAUAAUUUUUUUAAUUUUUGUGUAAUUAGUUCUGAUUUUUGUAAGGAAAAGUAAUAAAAUAAUAAUUUAGGGUAAAAAGGGAGGAUGUGGCCAUAUUGACUGACGUACACUUGUGCAAGUAGUCAUAAGUGACGGGCUGAGAUCGCGCCAGGUGUCCUCUUGCUAUUAUUUUGGCUUUUUUAGUGCAACAAUCUGUGGACAUAGGUAAUAAAUUCUACGAAAAUCCAAAAAAUGCCCGGAAAAUGAGAAAAUGAAAAUUAUUUGUACAUAACUCACUUUCCUCUUAACCCUAAUUCACGUGUAACACGUAUAUUUCGGAUAAUAUUCGAUAUAUAAUUUGUAAUAAUACAAUAUUUAGUUUCACUAUAUACAAUAAUAUGUUUUGUUAUAAUAAUGUACAUAAAUAAUAAUUGCACAUGCUUUGAAGCCAUCAUUGCAACUACGCCUAGAGCUUUCAAGACGUCAGUUCGUAUUCAAUAAGUUGUCCACAUGCAAGUGCACCUACAGUUUUCAACACGUCAGAGGUAUUCAAUAAGUUGUCCACAUGCAACUGCACCUAGAGUUAUUAACACGUCAGAGGUAUUCAAUAAGUUGUCCAUAUGACGCCGCAUUGGGAAUCAGUAAUAUAUUUUCAAUCAUGUCCAAUCACAUAAAAUAAUGGCAUACUUUUUCUCAAUAACCUCACACAAGUGAAGCAAUUUUAAAACCCUUACUGAAUAUUUGUCCUAGUCUAUAUGAGUGAUUAUAUAAUCAGUCUGCAUUUUUUUCACAGUAUAUGUUAACUUUGAGAGGGAUUCCACAAACAUAAAAUAUAAAGAAAGCAAGAAAUAGUAGGAGAUGAACCAGUAGAAAAAACAAUAUAUAAAUGGUACAUAAUAAUUCCAUAACCUUGUCACAAACGCACUCACAAAAGCUUUUCCAUAAACCUUGUCCUAACAUAUAAUAAAUAAAGGCAACAUUGCAUAUGAUGCAACCAUGUCCAAAUCUGAUACGUGAUCAAAAACAAAUGGACAUGGCAGCAACAUAUGACUGAAGUAGAUGGGCUCUUUGCAUCUUGUGUUUUCGUAAUUAAAGACAUCAAAAUAUUAAGGUUUAAAUCUUCCAUAGUAGUUAGCAUCAAAAUAGCUUUGAAGCAGAGUGUAAAGAAAAUUCCAAUUCCACUGAUUUGCCUCUGCUCAAACACGAGAACCAAAAUGGUUACUUCCCUUGCUGAGUAUAUUUGGUGACGUCGGAAACGGUAAUAGAUGAUCAAUCAAACCCAGGUACGACGAGUUUUGCAUAGGAUCGGAAGUAGUCGAAUCCAGCUUGCAUCACACGCUUCUUUGACUCCACUGCAUUAGAUGAGUUCUUGUAUUUUUGAACAGCUACACUCCGAAGUCGUUUGUGUCUACGCUUCAUGCGCUGCAACUUCACCCUAUCCAGAUUGGCCUGCCUUUUGUCAUCUUCAAUUUGGCCUUCAACAAAUUCCAAACGUGCCCUUGCCCUUUGGAUUUCAUCACCAAGUUGAAGAUGCCUCUCCUUCCAAAAAGCAACAACUCUUUCAGACUCAAAACUUCCAACAAAAUGGUCAUUCUGUCUAGGAAUGUGACAUUGCUUGUCUGGUGACUCACUUGCGUGUCGAAGGCGGUCUUUGUUUGGAGGGGUGUUUAUUAUGCUCACAUCAAACUUGGUUAGUAAAUCCAUUCUUUGGGGGGAAUGAGUUUGUUUGCUUGAGAGAGUAUCAGUAGAUGGAGACAGAUUCGGUGGAGGAGUGAGUUUUGUGUGGAAGGAGAAUUUAUAUGAAAGGGGUGAUAGUAAUACCAAGAAAAGGGUUCCCGCCAAAAAAUAUUUGGUUGAGAAUGUAUAAAUUAAUUUUUGGUCUGAUACAAUCUAAGUUGAAUCCUAACUAGUUUGGUUGAGUUAACUAAGUAGAUGUCACUUCCAUUGAGUUUCUUUCAACCACUAUCAGUGGUGUCAGGAGAGUGUGAGGUUGACAUGCUUGAAAAGCAAAACCUGACACCUAUUUUUAAAAAAUUCCAUAAAAAAAGUACAUAUGUUGACUACACACAAGCUUUGGUAUGUUGGUCUAUAAACCUAUGUUCCCUUUCUCAAACGAAAUUGCAUAUGCAAUCCUCAUCCUCCCAAAACAAAGAGGAUUAUUCAAGCAUGUCAACCUCUUCAGGCGCCAACAACACAAUCGAAGAUGACAAAUUGGAGUCGCAGGUUCUAUUUCCACAUUGUACUCGCCGACCCCUUCCUUUUUCAACAUCAUUUGGGAGUGAGGGGGACUCCGAUGAUCCAUUAGAGGCAAUACAUGCAGUCAGUGGCAAGCUGGAUUAUAAUUCCAGACUGAUCAAUUCAUGGCACGAGAAAUGUGUUGAAGACGAGGCAAUUUUGGCUGAUCUUAACAUUAGAGUGAACAAAGCGUUCUCCCAAAAGAACAAGUACUUGAAGCUGAGUCAUAGCAGGAAGCUGAAAGCUGAGGAGUUGGAUACAGUAAUGAAUGAUGAAAUGAAAGGUUGUUUGCUGAACCACAUGCGAUGCGAAGAGCACCAUAGUGAACUGGAGUUGGCAUUCAACGAAGGAUUCGACAAAUUUCGAGCAUUUGCGGCAACUACUCAUACAAGUUAUGAUUGGAACUAUGUGUCCCCUGAUGCUGUGAGAGAGAUACUAGACGAUGGGGGUGACAUGAAUGAGCAUAAGCACGUCAAAGCUGCUCGGAAGAAGCCGACCGAUACGACUAAGUGAUUGCGGCUACCGCUGUUCAGUUGGUUGAGGGUGACCGUGGUAUUGCACAUAUACUCCCUUAAUGUCAUUAUCUAAUUUCAAAUAACACAAAUAUCAGUUUCAUUUGCUUCAUAUAUAAUUAUUGGGACUAUGUAUUGCAAGUCAUCAUGUGUUAUAAUGUCUAACAUUAUAUUUUGCAAAUAUGGAAAUAUUAUUCAAUAAGCAGUCAAUAUCACAGCAAGCCGGGAAUCAGUAAAUGCUCCUUAUCAUGUCCAUUUACAUUAAAGAGCUGGCGUACUAAUGUGUUCAAAAAAAACUGAGACGUGAGUCAUAAGUAACAUAACAUGUGCUAUACAUUGUUUACUGAAUGGUUUAUGGUUUAUUUUUAUAUAAUAAAAUUCCAAAUAUUGCUGAAGAUUUAUUUCGUCUAUAUGACUAGGGAUAUGAGUGGCCAUAAGCAUGUGAGACCUGCUAAGAAGAAGCUGACGAGUACGACCGAGUGAUUGUGGCUACCGUUGUUCAGUUGGUUGGGGAGAUCGUGGUAUUGCUAAGAGGGAGCACAUAAUAUGUUUUGCAAUCAAAUGUUCUUUUGUGUGUGGAAUUAUGAGUAUUUAUGUAAGUUAGUGUACCCUUUAAUAUUUUUCACCUAAGUAUCGAAAUGUAAUUAGCUGCAAUGUUAUGUUUCAUUUUUACACGCUGCUUUCUAUUUGCUCUGUUCCAACAAAGUGCUUCAAGUAUCCUUCAGUUACAAAAGUGUACAAAAUCGUGCCCCUAAUAACCAGUCGUCAAAAGUGGCUACUGCUGGAAAUGAUUACUGGUAAUGGAAACAACAGCUGGCUGCUGGAAAUGCUGCAUUAGCCUGAGGAUUUGAAAAAUGAAUCUCUGUUAAAACAUAAUUCACCCUAAACUGCCCAUUUUACAUGGUAAAGGUCAUUGCUUCUUCACAUAACUACAAAUUUCAUACUUGAUCAAAUGUCUAUGAAAAUUUAUAAAUAGGGAGAAGACGUAAAAUUAACAUGUCUCCAAAUUUCAUGGAAGAAUGAAACCAAGGAAAUUUUCAUUUCAAUUACCAGUGGACAUAGUAAGAGCUCAUCGGUGGACAUGAACAAAAACACAAUAAUAUUCAAAAACUGAAUCUAUAAAACUUCACCUGAUCAUUAAUCUUCAUAACAACCACAUUUCGUCUAAUACAAAUAUAAAUCAUUUAGUUGGUCCGUGCAUCCUGUCAAAAUCGUCGAAUAAUGGGUCACUACGAUGUAUUGGAGUUGAUUCGUCAUUGUUCGACGGUGAUGUCCUGCAUAAACAUCAAACACAAGCACAUAAAAAUUUUACCUUUUCAUAUUUUAGAUGUUAUUACAACUAGUGUUAGCAUCUUACGGUGUGUUCAAGGCUGGGCAUUGUCUUCUAUCAUGACCAAUGUGUCCACACUCCCGACAGUGUCUAAUCCCUCGCUUCAUUGCCUUUUCCUUUGCUCCCGUUACUCCUUUCGACCUUCCUUUGCACCUCACUCUCUUAGGGUCUUUCAUAUAUUGUGUUUGAGAGCUGGACCCUCCAACUUCGUUAUUACUUAGUCCAUCCUUCAGCAACUUUAACUUCACCUGCAAACUUUUUAGAGUCUCUGACAGUAGCUCACAUCCUUCUUCACUCAUUAAUGCAUCCUCAACCACAUCUGAAGCAAGUCGAGACAUUGUACUCCGCUUUAUUAGAAGGCCAGGAUCUGCACAGUCUUUAAUUUCGUUGCCAUUUGCAUCUGACACCAUUCCAGAUUUCGCAGUUUUCUUCCACCUCUUCAAAAUAUAUUUAUCGGGCAUAUAUUCAAUCUGGUCCCUUCUGAACAAUGCUAGGAUGUGCUUGCAAAUAAUUCCAACAAAUUCAAAUCUUUUGCAGCUACACGAUGCGUGGUCAGAAUCUUUGACAUAUACGACUUCUGCCACUCUUGUUUCCCAAUUUUUCCUUUCGCUCACGUUAAAGACAACUUUACAAGCAUCCUCUGUUUUGAGCUCUAGGAAACAUGCUGUACUUUGUAUUAGUUCUUGCUCAAACUUUUGAAACAUUGUCCUUGUGUACAAGGUAGCCAUUUGUUUGUUCAUUGGCAUCGGUAGAAGACAUUGAGCCACUUCAAAUGCAUCUACGUGAUCAGCAACUAACUCUUUUUCACGUUGAUGAGAAAGUGCCCUCUCAAAUCGUAUUAUGAAAUCCAUCAACGAAUUUCUCCUUGAUAUGUAUUGCUUGAAAAAACCAUGAGAACCUUCCGCUCUUUGGCUGCUUGACAUUCCAGCGGCAAAAAAUUGUCGUGCGUAGGCUGGAACCCAAGAUUCCCUUAAAUCAAACAUUGAACUUAGCCAUGGAUGGUCGGUCAAACCAGCCUUUGUAACCACAAUAUUCCAUUUUGCAUCAAACUCAUCCUUAUUGUCAGUAUCCCAUAUGGCUUUCUGAAAUUCACGCCAAUACUCCUUAUAAGCGUCACGUGGUAACUUAACAGAGAACUUUGAUGUGAUGUGCCAUAUGCAAAGUCGAUGAAAUGUACUCGGGAAGGCUAUUGAAAUCGCUAUGGCCAUUGCCGCAUCUUGAUCUGUAAUGAUCGUUUUAGGUUCCCCACCUGGCAUGGCUUUCUUAAACUCCUCAAACAUCCAAACAAACGACUCAGUCGUUUCCUUGCUCAAAAAUGCACAUGCUAAGACAAUUGUUUGACCAUGGUUAUUAACUCCCAACAUUGGUGCAAAUGUCAAGUCGUAUCGAUUCGUGUUGAAUGUGGUAUCGAAUACAACAACAUCUCCAUAAAACCCAUACGCCCGUCUAGAAGUUGCAUCUGCCCAAAAACAUCGACUAAACCUGUCAUGCCCAUCUCCCUCAAUCUUGAAAUAAAAAGCCUCAUUUUUUUUCUGUUCAGCCAUAAAAUACUCGGUCACUAGUUCAACAUCGUGGUUCCUCAGCUUCCCAUUCACACUACAUUCAAGAUUGUAGAUAUCUUUUUUGAUAAAACCGAUUUUAUCCAUUCCUCCGGAUUGCACCUUGAAAAUACUUACCUUAUGAUGAAUGGGAAUAUUAACUGAACCCAACUGUUUUGUGAGUACUUUGUAGAAUCUGAAAUAUGACGGUGUGAUCUCAAUAAAUGCAUUCUUUCUGAGGGUGUCAUCUUAUGAUUGUGUCCCUCUGCAAAAAGAGAUAUGGUAUACUUCUUGCUCCCAUUUGUCUUCACAACCACAAUCUUAGCUUUGCAAUUGCAUCUACUUAUUCCCCGUUGUCUUUUUCUCUCCCGAGUUUCAUCCUUCCUGUAUGCACCUUGUUUGCAACAUACAAAUUCUUUCCUCAAAAUCUCUUUCUUAUUUUUCCCCCAAAAGCUAGAAUGAAGUCGAAUACCAAAGCCAGCAAAGAAUGCAUAUCUAUUAUAGAAAUUGUAAACGAGGUCAAGCGAGUCAAACUUCAUCCCAACUGCUGGUGUUUCCUCAUUUCUUACUUCAGGAAUAUAAACCCUCCCAUUAGCUGUUGCACAUUCAUCACUCUCUGAGCCCCCAGACAUUUUAUCUACGUAUAUUAUUGAUCCACUUCUAUAUUACUGCAUAGCAAUUAUUCAUUCAUUAAUCAGUCAUUACUGCAUCACAACAUAUCAAUGCAUUCCACUUACACAAAACAUUGCCCAAAUUGACACAAAAUACGCAUAGCCUAACUUCCGAUUACACAAAACGCAAGCAAAAUUUCAUAAAAGUUACGUCAUCUCUUGUGAAAUAAUCUGGUCAAAAUAACAUUAGAACCAACAUGUUCAACUAAGAACACAAAUGUAAUUCAAACCACCAAUUACAGAACUUCACCCAAUAUCCUCUCCAACUGCUUACUCCUAAUGUCAUUAAGCCUAAGUUUAGGUUCUUUUACCUACAUUUCAUAAUUUUCCACCCCGACCAACAACAAUGAACUAAGAAUAUUGAAUAUUCAUAAGGAAAUGACACAUUAUUGAUGCCACAAAUGACGAAUUUCCCACCCUCACAAAAGAUAAACCUAACCCAAUAAAAUCAAUCCAGCAAGUGAACUUACCUCUCAAAAUCAAUCGGGAGCUCUGAAGUCAGUCAGCUUGAAAGAAUGUGGUGGACAUUACAGAAGACUCUUUGGUAUUUGAGACUCCAUCUCUACCAAAAUCGAGGAACAACUGCUGCUGCGGCUUCUAGCUACAAAAACAGAUAUGCUACUUUGCUUUCAUCUGGAAUCUUGUCAGCUGAAUGAAAAAGAGAAGGGGUUUUCACUUGAGCCAUAGAAUCAAAACAGGGCAACAGCUAGGUAAGAGCCAUUCUUCGUAAUACCCAGGAUACCAUAGAUCGCAGGCCUCCCAACGAGCUAAUGACAGUCGAGUGACUAUAAGGUUUGGGAGAUUUGGAUCCUUCUAAUUGUGGGUUUGCUUUACAUUCAAAAAGAAAGGAUUGUGUUCUUCAGUUUUUCACAGAGAGGGAAAGAGGGGAACAACUGAAGUUGGGUUUCUAACGGGUUAGAUUUCAACCCGAUUCUACAUGCACCCUCUUUUAAAAACUCACCGUUGGAUGAAAUCCAACGGCUCUUACAUGCCCCUCAAAAACACCCCUUAUAACUUCCCACUCACUAUAGAAGCUCCCCUGUUUGUGUUGUUGAAUUGGGUCUUUUAGUUGUUUUUGUAAACUCUGAUUUAAGUCUAGUUUGGUAUUGCUGUACUUUUAAAAAAAACUACUUCCGCUGUGCUGCUAGAAUACUCAGCUGUAAAAAAAAUUAGUUAUGCUUUUGGUAAACUAUAUUUGAAAAAGUGCUGUGAGUAAUCCAAAUGUUUGGUAAAUGACCAAAAAAAAGUGCUUUUAAUACGUACAAUGACUAAAAAGGACAUGAUGAUGGAACUAUUUGAUUUUUUCUUCAUUCUUUUUCUACUUAAAAAAAACUUCACUACAUAAUUUUUUUUUCUUUUUUUAUUUAUACUAUACACGUGUUCCUCUCUUCUCAAAAAAGUAAAUGCCUUUUGUUAUGUAUUGAAUGCUAACCCAACGACACCAAUUGGAAACCCAACACAGCCCAUCUCUCCACUUCAAUUUUUCUCUUUCUACCAUUUACAAGUUUUUUUUCUUCAUUCCUUCGUCUAACCAAAAAUAUCUCAUGUUUCCCCCAAUUAGUUUUAGUACUUUUGGGUAGGUGAGACUGAAAAGGGGAAAAAUUGUAUGUUGGGUUUAUGUUUUGGUGUUCUUGCAAUGGGAGAUAACAUAGUGGAGAAAGUAGCCAUGGUGAAAAUACAGAUUUCUGGGUUGCAGCCAUGGAGAUUUGAGCUGAUUUACAGUGCUGUAGUGGGGGUAGUUGAAGCCCCCCCAAAGUUGGGACUACUGCAACAGGAUCUUUCCACCCAAAACCAAAAACAAGAACAACAAACUCAGGUGGAACAUGAAACUCAUCACUCUCUCUCUUCCUUCGACUCGGGUUUUCUCUCUUCUUCCUCAAACCUGCGACAAAUAGAAAAACCCCCAAUUUAACAGAGAAAACUCUAGAUGCAGAAAGUUUGAGAAGUAGAAAACCAAAAAACCAUAAUUGUAAUUAAGUUAUUGAUGAAUGGGCAACCUUCUUAGCAAUUAAUUUUUUGAUGUCCACAAUGAGAGUUCCAGCAGCGUCAGAGAGUAGAGAAGGAAAUGAAGGAAAUAGAGUUCACAGAAUGGAGAAGAAAAAAGGGGCAAAAGACCGUCAAUUUGUAAAAUAAGUGAGGGUAUUACGGGAAAGUUAAAAGUUCAUUAAAACAACCGGUUAAAUUUUUUUUGAAGCAGCUUUUAAAAGCUUGGUAGAGACGGCUUCGAAAAAACAGCGAUCAUUGACUGCGAUUUUAAAAAAAAGCAGGAUUCCUGAUGUUUUCCAAACACCCAACUCAUGAAAUUUUUUUAUUAAAGCUGCUUUUUAAGAAAAUUAAACGCUGCCAAACACCACCUUAACCAUUUUCUUUGCGUGUGCCAAAUUUAUAAUUUUGACCAGUGUCAUGCAGGAAAAUGUUUCAUGCUUUGUUAACAGGGGGCUUUCGAUGAGUAUUUUAUUUAGAUGAAAAGUGAUUCAUUCCUUUCCUUUAUGGAUUCAUCUUGUUAGGUUGAUCUAUUGAAGAAUGAGCUUGGAUUUGAUGAGGCUUUUAACUAUAAAGAAGAGGCUGACUUGAAUGCGGCUUUCAAAAGGUGCAUAUGAGUAAUGAUAGAGAGAUUACAUUUAUAAACCCUAGCGGACCAUGAAUAUAAUGAGUCUUAAAUCUAUUAGACAAUUGGUUAGUUGACAGGUGGUAUACAAAGCAGUCUACAAAUGUGAUCUCCCUAUCAUUUUCCGUAAAAUACAUAUUUAUUAUGUUAUACUAGUUUCCUUUAGUAAGAAAAGAAAGGAAAAAAACUAUUAUUAAGAAUUUGUGUGUUGUUAGGGUUCAUCAUUGGGCUGGGCCAACUCAAAAAUUUUGGGUUCGAGCCGAGCCCUCAUGGGCCGAAAUGGGCCAGACUUUUUGUUAAAAAGUCUUUUCAAUCUUUUUGUUACACAUUUCGUUUUUUCAAAAGUGAUGGAUAUAGAGUAUUCUCUUAAACAAUAGUAUAGAUUACUACAUAAUUUAAGAAAACAAAAAUAUAAUAGCCAAACUUUUUUACUAAACCUAGACCAAUAACCAAUAUAUUUAAAAAAUAUUAUACCUAAAAAUGAAUCUUAUGAUGUGCAAUUUGUGCCUUAAUUAACUUAUAUCCCAAAUUAGGAUUGACAUCAUGAAAAUUAAAGCAAUUUGUGCCUUUAAAAUUAAUAAACCCAGAAUAAGCUUUCAAAUUCUUUAUUGAACCGUUAAAUUUGAACUUGACAAAAAAGGGGCACUAAGAGAUAUAGUGCAUAUAUUGCUUGUUUGUUACAAAAUUUUAGACAACAUUGAAAAAAUUAACUUAAUUUAUAACAUGUGUAAACAAAAUAAAAAGUUUAUUAGUUUAUCAUACAUAUUACAUUAUUUUGAUUAAGUAUAAAAUGAGGUUAGGGAAUGCAUCAAUUAAUCUUAAAAAAAUGAAAAGCAUAAGCGGGCGGGCCGAGCGGGCCUAACCAUCUUGCUAGGCUGGACUUUGACCCAUCAAGCCUCGGACUACCCACUUCGGAGCCGCGGGCCAAAUGAUGAUCCCUAUAUGUUGUAUAUGAUGCUUUGAAGCUUGAGCUUUCUUGAGUGAAGGAUAAAUUUUCUUUGUAAUUACCAUACACUUGCCAGGUAUUUCCCUGAAGGCAUUGAUAUUUACUUUGAGAAUGUUGGAGGCAAAACGCUAGACGCAGUGCUCCUCAACAUGAGAGUCCAUGGCCGCAUUGCUGUAUGUGGAAUGAUCUCACAGUACAAUCUUGAUCAAGCAGAAGGGGUAACAAAUUUGAUGCACCUUGUGUAAAAACGUAUCCGCCUCCAUGGAUUUUCGGUAAGAGAUCACUAUCACAUCCAUCCGAAAUUCGUGGAGUUUAUGCUGCCUUACAUUAGGCAAGGAAAGAUUGUUUAUGUGGAAGACAUAGUUGAAGGCCUUGAGAGUGGUCCAAGAGCGCUGGUUGGACUUUUUAAGGGUCUUAACUUUGGAAAACAAGUAGUUGACGUCUCUGCAUGAAUAAGUUGUUUUGUCAAUCGAUUUGGUGUGCUUGUGUUUCUAACCACUAUAACUUUGUUAAGUGGCUCUUUGGUUUUAUUUUUAUGUUUUUGGAUCCUUUUUGGGAUUGCAUAUGUUAAGUGGUGCACUUUGUCAUACAGAAGAUAUUCAUCAAUAAUAAGGGCUAAUUCAGGAUUGUUGUCACUUUUAAAAAAAGAUGCUUCUGUUGUGUUUUGGAAAUAAUAAGCUGUAAAGUAGUUCCAUGCGUGUUAAACAAUAUUUUUAAAGUGUUGUUAGUAUAAAAAGUUAUGUCAAAACCGUUUGGUAAAUUUUGAUAUAAAACUAGUAACUGUUGAUAAUGACUAAAACAUACAUGAUAUGUCGAAAGUGUUACGUGGUAACCAUAUGGUGGUGGUGGCGGUGGUGGUAUAGGUGGAGGUUGAGUUGGUGGUGGUGGUGGAGGUGGAGGUGGUGGUGAGGCGUGCUACGGGCACCAACUUAAAUACUAAUUUAAUGAUACCAACCUAUGUGGCAUAUGACAUGACAAUUUAUGUCAUAUGCCACAUCAUUUUUUUUAUUAGUUAAGUUUUAACAAUUUUUUGUCAGAAUUAACUUAAUUAUUUAGUUUUAAAUAAAUAAAUUCUGCUCCACGCCUCCCUUCCUUCUCGGAUCUACUACCAUGGCCUCCUUCCUCCCCAACUUGUAUGCCCUUAUUAUUACGCACAUUGAAUUUGGCUUUCGGGGUGUGACAUAUUUUUACCAAUCCCAUGAAGCUUUUCUUAUCUUUGAAUGCUUGAGUGCUAACCAUUGUGUGUUUCCCUUGCUUUAGGAAGAUUGCCUCACUCAGCAAGAAUGCAUGGUGAGGUGUUUGUGAAUGGUGCAAAAUCGGUACAUGUACAUGGCCACGACACCGAUAUAUAAAUGAGAAGAGAAUUCCUUGGUCAGUAUCAAUAUUGCGAAACUGUUGCAGCAUUGAAGGGUUGUGUGAACUCCUCGAUUUCAAGCGAAGUCGAAUAUUGCUUGAUGUGGAAGAUGGCUCAAACUAAUAAAAAUGAGGAAAACGGAUCAUACCAACAAAAAUAUGGCAGAUGGCCAGAAUCAAUAUAACCGUGGUCAGAUUUGGGAAGUGAGGCCAUGGCAGAUUCGGAGAGGGAGGGAGGCCAUGGCAGAUCUAUAAAGGAAUGGAGAAACAGAUCACACCUCUUCCCUUCUCCUCAUACCACAACUCAUCAUACACACCCAAUCGAUUUUGAAAUAUUACAUAAAAGUUGUGAUGGCGCUGGAACUGCAGAUUCAGAACGUUUUUUAUAUGCUUCCCACAAGCAGUCAGACAAACCCUUAGAGGACGAGUGACAUCAUUACCUUCUCAACUUACCAAAGAAAGAACUCCUUCCGAAGUGGUAACCACUUGCCGAUGCUCCCAACUACAGAACCAAGUUUCCAUGGACACGUGUCACCUCCACAAUAGUUUGCACAAAGUCCGACAUUGAAACUUUGUGCAAAACUCCCAUUUUCAGGGAACAGUACCUAAGGAAAAGGGGUAACUACUUUUCACAUUUACUGUUACUCUGCCAAAAUUACCACAUAUACUCGCUGACUUAAGUAUUGGAGAGUCUUCGGCAGGUACCACACCAGUGUCCGAAGCUUGACGAUCCCUUCUUCCUUGUUUUCUUAUGCAAGAUCCCUCCAUACCGAAGGUCCACAACCUUCUCCCUUGCUGAAGAUUUAACACUCCUUUAUCUAAGUUAACCCUCCGAAAAAGAGCAUCAACACGCGCAGCACUCAUUAUCUUUCAACAAUCUGAUUAUCUUAUACUAGUUAAUUUAUGGGUUGUUUGAUAACAAUUUCAAUUUUAAUUUUUAGUUUUCAUUUUCAUUUUUUUUGAAAACUGAAAACAUGUUUGGUAUUAGAUUUCGUUUUCAAAUUAAAAAAAAAGUGAAAUCUAGUUUUCAAAAUCACCUUUUUUUUAAAAAACAACUUGGAAGUGUUUUAUGUUUUUUUUUUAUGUUUUUUUUUUUUUUUUUUUUUUUUUUGUGCACUAUUGUUUGUUGGAGUGUUAGUUGACUUUCUUUGCACACCAAGGUUUCCCAUAUUAACUCAUGCAUAGAUUGGAAUUGAUUUCCUACUCUAAAUAGUAUUAGAAGUUAUUAAUUACCUUACUUAGCCUUCAAGGAAUAUUGUAUUAUAAAUAUGGCCUUCUACAAGGAGAAGAAUACACAGAAAAUUCUCACCACAAUUACUCUUUCGUAAUUUUAGCAUUAUUUCAUUCAUAAGUUUCACAUCACCACACAUGAAAUGCACUCCGGUUACCAAAAGUCGGUAUUUGGGACCUCCCAACUUGGACUUGGUCGCUCAAUUCGUGCUUUUGGCCACAAUCCCAAUCCAAACCUCGUCAACUCCAUGUCCAAAGGUCACUAAAAAAUAAUCAUAAUUUUAAAAAAUUCACCAAAAAAUAUUACGAAUUUUUUGUCAUUCCUGCUUUAACUUUACCUUUUGUUUUCAAAUGUUGACCCGUCCCAACCCAACUCUCAAUGCUCGAAGGGUUCUUUCGUGUAGUUAAGAGUUGGGUUUUCCAAGGUAGGUCUAUAUUGAUUCGAACAACUUUGCGGUAUAUCUGUGGGUAAGAUACUGUUCUCAAAGUAGUAAAGGCUGAACUAAAAGGCUAAAUGGGAAAAUGAAUACUUUCUUUUCUCUUCCUCAAGAAACAUACAUCCUCACCACAAGAGAGGGAGAGUUGCUUGGUAUUUUGUUAAAUAAAAUAAAAUAAUUAAUAAUUGAAAAUAGAAAAUGUUUGAAAAGGAUAUUGGGAAUAAAGAGAGAAGAUGCGGGUGUGAGUAAAAUAACAAUAAAAGAAAAUUAAAUCAAAAAUAAAAAAAUAAAAAAAUAAUUAAGUUUUGGGGAGUAGAAAUCGGGAUGGAGGGGGGAGAGAGAGGUUUUUUUUUAAAAAUUUUUUAUUCGUAUUUUAAUCAAUUUUGAUAUUGUUGAGGCCCAAAAAAGUUACGGGAAGCCCAAAGACAUUUAAAGCCCAAUAUAACAUAUAUUCUCAGUCAUGCGUUAAUCCAAGCUGUAAUUCGGAUUUAAUUCAUUAAAUAAAUAUAAAAUAGUGUACAUGUCAUGCUAAACUAAUAAUACAUUUUCCCCAUGCUAAUCACCUAUCAAGCUCACAUGAACCCAAGUCAUGUGAUUUACGGGCUUGCAUGAGGGAUUGUGGUGUGGAAGGUUACGGAGGUCCACAAGGCCCACGGAAGCUCUUGGAUAACAGAGACUUUGGGCUAGCUACUUGAGAGCACCAAAGUCCAAGCCCAUUACUUAGAGUUCUCCAAUGUGGGUGAGCAAAUGAGACAUUUUUCAAGCACUGCCUUUUACCUAUAGGAAAUAGUCAUUUUCCAAAUACCAAGCUUUACCCGUUGGAAACAAGCAUUUUCCAGCACUUCCUAUUACCCAUUGGAAACAAGCAGUUUCCAGUGCUUCCUUUUACCAAUAGGAAAAAAUCUGUUUAUGAUACCUAGCUUUACCUAUUGGAAAAUAGCAUGUCCUAGUCCUCCCUUUUAACCAUUAGAAAUAGGUUGGUUCCAAUACCUCCCUUUACCUAUUGGAAAUAAAGGAAAACCCUCACCCUCUAUAAAUUGGCACUCAUGGCUCAAGCAAAAGGCACCAAUUUUUCUUCAGCCAAUACUUCCUCACUCGGCUACUGCAAGCAUCCCAGCAGCCACCAACCCCCAUAAAGCAUCACCUAGCUCCAAGCUUUUCCUUCCUUCCAAGCUUUAAACACCAUAGCCUUUAAACCUCAAGCUUUUCCUUCCAUCCUCCUUCUCUUGAAACUCUUAAAUCCCCAUAGCCAUAGCCACACACAACAAAUUAUCAACACCAAACUCAAACAUAUCCAACACCAAGCCAAGCACAUGCAUUCUCAUUUGCUAAACUUGUGGGUCUUUAGCUCCUACACUCCAAGCUCUCAUGCUAAGCUCACAUAAUCUCAUACCAACAUCAGCAAGUCAUCUUCAACUCUUCGUCGAGCUGCCGAAAACAUCAACACAAAACAUGCAGCCGUUGGAAGAAGAACAAAGUACUCUCCCGGGACUUGCUUUUCCCUUGGGACACUUUGGGCCUAGUUCUCGCUAACUCAGAUAAAGGAACAACGAAGUCUUCAUUCAUCACUCUAUGGCGACCCAAGAAUCAACAAAGCCCGGAUGAGCCUUCGAACGAAAGUGACCACAUGCAAAGCUCAAGCUUCAAUAGCCAAGCCCAAGCUUUUGGUUCCUAAAAACAUGCUUACGACAGCUGCAACAAACAAUACCUAAGUCACCAUAAGUGAUAUGCCCCAGCGUCUCAAGCACUUUCUAUGCCCUGACAAUUCUAAUGAUCAAGUUUUAGAGUCAAACCAAAAGGCCAUUGGGAUGUCUCAAUUGCCACAAUUCCAUAAUCAAUCAUCAUCAAGCCUCAAGCCUUAUUCAAGAAAUCCAAGCACUAUUCUUUACUCAAGAAGGAAAACAUCUCAGUUCGUGGCAAAUAGAAGGAAAAUACUACGAAGGUACCGGAAGAACCUAAACACUGUCAAGAUGAAGUUUCCUUUACCAAGCAAUCAAAAUUUUUGAAGUGAUGUCAAGCUAUCAAGAAAAAGAGUAAAGUCACUAUGCAACACAACAACCAAAAUAUGCUUGUAGUAACCAAGAUUCAAGCCAAGCAAAAUGUGGAAGAUAAUGAUGCGUUGUAUGAAAUGCUCCUGGAAGAUAACACAAGCCCUAUAGUCAUGCUGCCGGAAGAGUGAACCAUCAUGCCACUAAAUUUGAAAGAGGAGCCCCAUAUCUGAGUACUGGAAGGCAGCGCAGUGGACUCCAAAACUAAGAUCUAGUCCAAGUGACUUAAGGCCUCCAUAUUGCAAUGCUUAUUUGCCAACACCUAUACCGCUUUCAAGCUACUGCAGACACUAUCAUGCUCAAAUCCUUAAGCAUCUCCCAUUGUAUUUUCAUCUUCUAAUCUACCAAAGCCCUCAUGAUUGACCAAGCUAUAUCUUGAUUCAACUCCACCCACUUGCUCUUUACAGCAGCCCAGGCCCAUCUGUAGCUGCCGGAACAAAAAAGCCCCAACGUAAAUGACAAAACCGAAACACUAAAGCACAUCCACCAUGCUAAAUAGCCCAAAAGCUAUAUUAAACCACGACACUUUAGCCAAUACCAAGCGUACAAGCCAAUGCCCAGCAUCCAAGCAUACAAGCCAAAGCUUAGCGUACAAGCCAAUACUAAGCAUACAUGCCAAUGCCAAGCAUACACACCAAUGCCAAGCAUCCAAGCCAAUACCAAGCGUACAAGACAAAGCCAAGCAUACAAGUCAAUACCAAGCAUACAUGCCAAUGCUACGCGUAUACGCCAAUGCCAAGCAUCUAAGCCAAUACCAAGCAUACAAGCCAAAGCCAAGCGUACAAGCCAAUACCAAGCAUAUAUGAGCCCAAGAUCAAGCGUACAUGCCAAUGCCAAGCAUCCAAAUCAAAUACUAAGAAUACAUGUCAACAUCAAGCAUACAUGCCAACACCAAAUAUACACGUAAAAACCAAGGAAGCAAGCACGGAUGUUUCAUGCAUAUUGAAGAACCAGCCAUGUCAUGCCACUGCCAAUUAUUUUGGGCUGAAAUAGAUUAUUGGGCCCAUCUCACUGCCACUUCAUAGCCCCAAUAAUCAAGGGGGCUAAUGUUGAGGCCCAAAAAAGUUACGGGAAGCUCAAAGACAUUCAAAGCCUAAUAUAACCUAUAAUGUCACUCAUGCGUUAAUCCAAGCUGUAAUUUGGAUUUAAUUCAUUAAAUAAAUAUAGAAAUAGUGUACAUGCCAUACCAAAAUAAUAAUACAUUUUUUCCAUGCCAAUCACCUAUCAAGCUCACAUGAACCCAAGUCAUGUGGUUUAUGGGGCUUGCAAGAGGGAUUGUGGUGUGGAAGGUUACGGAGGUCCACAAGGUUCAUGGAAGCUCUUGAAUAAUGGAGACUUUGGGCUAGCUACUUGGGAGCACCAAAGUCCAAGCCCAUUACUUAGAGUUCUCUAAUGUGGGUGAGCAAAUGAGACAUUUUUUAAGCACUUCCUUUUAUCCAUAGGAAAUAGUCAUUUUCCAAAUAUCUAGCUUUACCCGUUGGAAACAAGCCUUUUCCAGCACUUCCUAUUACCCACUGGAAAUAAGCAGUUUCUAUUACUUCCUUUUACCAAUAGGAAAUAAUCUGUUUAUGGUACUAGCUUUACCUGCUGGAAAAUAGUAUGCCCUAGUGCUCCCUUUUAACCAUUAGAAAUAGGUUGGUUCCAGUACCUCCCUUUACCUAUUGGAAAUAAAGGAAAACCCUCACUCUCUAUAAAUUGGCACUCAUGGCUCAAGUAAAAGGCACCAAUUUUUCUUCAGCCAACACUCCCUAACUCAGCUGCUGCAAGCAUCCCAGCAGCCACCAACCCCCAUAAAGCAUCACCUAGCUCCAAGCUUUUCCUUCCUUCCAAGCUUUAAACACCAUAGCCUUCAAACCUCAAGCUUUUCCUUCCAUCAUCUUUCUCUUGAAACUCUUAAAUCCCCAUAGCCAUAGCCACACACAACAAAUUAUCAACACCAAACUCAAACAUAUCCAACACCAAGCCAAGCACAUGCAUUCUCAUUUGCUAAACUUGUGGGUCUUUAGCUCCCACACUCCAAGCUCUCAUGCCAAGCUCAUAUAAUCUCAUACCAACAUCAGCAAGUCAUCUUCAACUCUUCGUCGAGCUGCCGAAAACAUCAACGCAAAACACGCAGCCGAUGGAAGAAGAACAAAGUACUCUCCCGAGACUUGCUUCUCCCUCGGGAUACUUUGGGCCUAGUUCUCGCUAACUCAGACAAAGGGGCAACGAAGUCUUCAUUCAUCACUCUAUGGCGAUCCAAGAAUCAACAAAGCCCGGAUGAGCCUUCGGACGAAAAAGACCCCAACAGAUAUAAAAAUACCAUUUUUCCCCUGCAGUUAACAGAAAAGUUAACAGCCGGACCAUUUGUCCUAACGAAACUGAAGUUGAAGAACUACGGGAACCAUUUUGAAAAUUGAGGUACUCAAAUACAAAUCGGGUCUAAGUUCAGGGAUUAAUAAAACAAUUAACCCCUGAGUUUAUAAUGCUCGAGAGUAUAUAGGAAGAGGACACUCCAACUGGCAGCUAUGGAGGAGGCCAAGACUAGUAGUGUCUAUUCUGUGAAAGCUAACUUUGCUUUCUUAUUAUCCACAACUUAGAUAUAUCAAUGGCUUCUUGCAAGAACCUCAAUUCUUUAUGAACUUUCUGCCCUAAAAUGCUUUAUCUAAUAGCUCAGACAAUGGUGAAAGAAAAAAAAUUGUUGUUGGAAUCUUAGCAUAAUAAUAUUUUCCAGCCAAAAUCAGUUGUUAGAUUCUCCAACAGCACAAUCUCUUUUCGCAAUCACAUACUAGUCAAUCCUACAGAGCAUAAGAUCCUACUUUGAGGGGUGGAAAGGAAUGAAUUCAACUCACCACUAUUAUGACCAAGGCAAUAAUUUUCAUUUCCAUCACAUGAUUCUAGGUGACCCACAACUCCAUACCACCAACCUGCAAUAUAUACAGAAAAUCCUAUCAAGCAAUGGACAAUGGGAAAUUAAUUAAUUUCACCUUUUAUUUAAGUUUCUGCAUAUUAAACGAAUCUACUUUCAUUAUAUAUUUAAGGGAAAUGUAAGCCUUUUUUUUCGUUCUUUACCCUUUUUUUUCCUCACCUUAAUGGGGCUUGAGGAUGUUUGAAUUGUUCGCUAGAACUACUUUCAUUAUCUAUUUGAGGCAUACUUCAUGAACCACAUGGAUUCUAGGAAGUGAUAUAGACCUUUGUUUCUUUCAUUUGAGCCCUUCUAGCCAACCCGUAUCACUUUUAUCCCUUGUUAAUCACCUUGUGCCUUUUAUGUAAGCCUUUUUUUUCGUUCUUUACCCUUUUUUCCUCACCUUAAUCUAUCAUAUGUUACCCUUCUAAGGAGUUUUGUACAGUAUUUUCGUUGUUAAGGGAGAAUUGCACAACAAUCAUGUGGAAAGUAAAGGAUACUAUUUCCAAAAAAAAAACCUAAUUUCAAACCCUUUUCAACUCGAGUUAUUGAGCCCUAUGAGUGUUUUACAUUUAAUUUCGUAAAGCUAUGUAGCUUGGGAGUCAUUGGCCUAACACUCGCUGCAUGGGUUGAUUAGAAAGCUAAUGAAGAGUUAGAAAAAAAAAUUGUGAAAAAUAAAUAAAUUUCAAGACAGUAUCAAUAUGAAGUUGCGUGCUCAAAGUGCAAGAUGUUAUAAUUUUCAUGGAAAGCUCUAUGAAUUCCUUAGAAUUUGUUCAUCCAUAUCUUUUUCUUGUUUCACCCGUCACUCUAAGCCCCAUUACAACCUUAUUUGAAGACUAUUCUGCUAUUUUCUCAAGGCGUGCAAUAUAUGACUGGAAAGAUAAGAUAAAGACCUACAAUUUACAUAUUUUUUCAGAAUUUUCUCGGAGGAGGAAUGAUUCCAAACGUGGGUGCAAAGUAACUAACGUGUUAUCCUAGUCCAAGUAGGAAGAUGAGUCAAUUACUUACCCAUUUUGGAUUUAAGUUUUAAUUAGCUGUUUCUUUAUUUUUGGGCUGUUGUAAAAGGCCAGCUAAGGUAGGAAUAGACGUGUGGCAUUUUAUUUAAGCAUGAGACAACUCCUUUGGGAAGACGCAAAGACUAGGAGAAAUUGGAGACGCCGGAAGAGUACCACAAUUGGCUAAGUUUUAUUGUUUCUUCCUUAUGUUUUUGUUUAUGUCAAAUUCUAUGAUUAUGUGUAACUAAUUUUAUUUUGCUAGGGCAUGAUGUAUGCCUAGUAUGAUAAUCUAGUUUUCUUAUUUUACCUAUCUAUUGAUUGCAGUUUGAUGUUAGAUUCUUAAUCACUGUGCUUAGUACCUUAGUUGAUUACCUUGAUGCUUGAUCACCAUCUAGACUUUUAAUUGAGUUAAUCGGAUGCGAAUUAGAGUAAAUACCAUACUUAAUUUGAGGUUUGCUUCUUGUGAUUAGAAUUUGUAAUUUGUCUAAAGUAAAUACCAUACUCCUAGAAUUUACAUGCUUGUUGGAGGUUUUCACUGAUUUCAAUAUUUUCCCGACAUGUGAUGCCAACAACAUAGAUGUUUCAAUGUUUCACUAUGGAAGCAAUCACGUAAGGAUUAACAUGGCAGGACAUCAGACAUGAGAAACUAAGAAGAGAGAGAGAGAGAGAGAGAGAGACUUGCCAUUCAAGCAAGAGAAGGCCAUAACACUAUAUAGCAAUAGCACCGUAAAAUAAGAUGCAAAGAAUGAGGGGGUCAUGUUUUCAAGUACCAAAACACGCAAGGGCAUUUUGGUAAAGUACAUCUGAAAAUAAAUCAAGGCAAGCAAAGCCGUAGAUAUCCUCUUCCUGCUACACAUAGUAUUAGCCUACGUAAGGUCAUUACGGCGCCGUUUCCCUUUUUAAUUGGCGUAGUUCAACUCAUCAUCCACCCAAGUUCAUUUCGUUCAAAGCUAUAAAUAACCCCUCAAACCAUUCAACUUUCCCACCACCACUCCUCACUCCUUCAACUCAUUAACCUCUCUCUCUCUCUCUCUCUCUCUCUCUCUCUCUCUCAUCCGCAAAUGGCGAACCGUAGAAGCCUCUUUUCUCUCUCACUUAUCUUUGUGUUCAUGAUCAACUCAGCCAUAGCCACUCCAGUCACAUACAAUGUGGCCAGUUUAGGAGCCAAAGCAGAUGGCAAGACUGACUCCACAAAAGCCUUCCUCUCUGCAUGGGCUAAAGCUUGUGCCUCGAUGAAUCCCGGUGUCAUUUAUGUGCCGGCAGGAACGUUCUUUCUUCGCGAUGUGGUGUUCAGUGGGCCUUGCAAGAACAAUGCCAUCACCUUCCGCAUUGCCGGAACCCUUGUGGCCCCGUCGGAUUACCGGGUCAUCGGUAAUGCAGCUAACUGGAUUUUCUUUCACCAUGUAAACGGGGUUACCAUAUCAGGUGGAAUUCUUGACGGCCAAGGCACGGCCUUGUGGGCUUGCAAGGCCUCUCAUGGCGAGAGUUGUCCCAGCGGAGCAACGGUAAUUAAUUCACUACUUUAAAUAUCAUAUUCAUGACACCAUUAAAUAUCAAAUUCAUGACACCAUUAUUUUGUGCUUCAUUAUUAGUGAGAAUUUUAAAGGUCAACGUACGUACAAUUUGCUUUAUUAUUUGCUACCAAUUGAAUUGAGGGUUUAUAAAAUAAGUUCAAACUCCACAGAACGUAAUCAAAUGGACAUGAUAAAUUGUACCACAAGUUUAGCUUGAUCAAGUAAUUUCGUAAUAUGUGCAGACUUUGGGUUUUUCCGACUCAAACAACAUCGUGGUGAGUGGAUUGGCAUCCCUAAACAGCCAAAUGUUCCAUAUAGUCAUCAACGACUGCCAAAAUGUGCAAAUGCAAGGUGUCAGGGUUUCUGCUUCCGGUAAUAGCCCUAACACCGAUGGCAUUCAUGUCCAAAUGUCAUCUGGUGUCACAAUCCUCAACUCCAAGAUUGCAACCGGUGACGAUUGUGUCUCAAUUGGCCCCGGAACCUCAAAUUUGUGGAUAGAAGGCGUUGCUUGUGGACCUGGCCAUGGAAUUAGGUACGACAUCAAAAUUAUAUAUUUAUCCAUGAUUGAUUAAACUAGCUAAAUGCAUACUAUUUCAUAAUAUAUGUUAUAAUGUAUAUCUUUUUUCUUCAUUGCUUAAUGACAUUUGAACUUAGGACAUCUUUCAAUAAAGUGGAGAUUAAUUGAUUGCUAGUAGAGAUUCAUUGCCUACAAAAAGUAUAUCUUUCUUUUGGGUGGAUGUUCUAGUUGUAAAUUUAACAUUGCUUUACUUGAUGGUUCAGCAUUGGAAGUCUAGGCAAGGAGCAAGAAGAGGCCGGUGUACAAAAUGUAACAGUUAAAACGGUUACCUUUAGUGGUACUCAGAAUGGUCUAAGAAUCAAGUCAUGGGGGAGGCCAAGCACUGGGUUUGCUAGAAAUAUUCUUUUCCAACAUGCUACAAUGGUCAAUGUCGAAAAUCCUAUUGUCAUAGAUCAACAUUAUUGCCCCGACAACAAAGGGUGCCCUGGUCAGGUAAGAUAUCAUUCAUGCUCUAAAAAUCAGUUCCCAAAGUUUAAUAUUACAACUCAAUUUUCUCUUCUUCACAUUGAUAAAAACGUUGGCAUCACCAAAUUAUAACUGUCUAAGUUCGAAACAUAUCAAAAGCUUUCUUGGGCUUCCACCUAGAAGAGCCAAUAAUUUUAGGCCCAAAGCAAAUCCAAUAACUCCUUCCUCCAUGGGCUUGCUCUCCUACUACUUACAAAGAUCGAGCCUUGCUCAUUGUAACCUUUGUAACUUAUUAAUGGAAUUGAGGGUUGUAGCUCAAGUGGUUAACAACAUUUACUCUGGUAUUCGAAGUCCUAGAUUUAAUUCCCCUCUUUUCCAAUACCAUUUUUAUCAAAAUGACUUCAUCGUAGCUUAGCCAAAAAAGCAUUGAAUCCCAUUAAGCCGAAUUCCCAUGCUAUAAUACUUGUUCACCUUCUGUUUUAUCAAAAGCUGGAAAUCUGACUUCGUAUUGUUUUUUUUUUCUUUUGUCAAUUUUGUUUUUCAAUAGGUUUCCGGAGUUCAAAUUAGCGAUGUGACAUACGAAGACAUACACGGUACAUCAGCAACAGAAGUUGCAGUAAAAUUUGAUUGCAGUCCCAAGCACCCUUGCAGCGAGAUCAAAUUGGAGGAUGUGAAGCUUACUUACAAGAACCAAGCAGCUGAGUCUUCAUGUAGCCAUGCAGAUGGAACAACUGAGGGUGUGGUUCAGCCUACAAGUUGUUUGUAGAGUGGAAAAAUAUGAACUGCUUGUAGAAGUAUUGAAAUCCAAAAGUUUGCCCUCCAGUACUAAGGACAAAUGAAAAGUGAAUUAUACGAUUUAUAGGAAGAAUAAGCUUGUGGCGUUGGCAGCCUAUUUCGGCUCCCUUGAUCCUGGCCGUUCAAUUAGUUUAGUUUGUUCAAACUCGUCCACUUCGAUGGGUGUUUAUGUUAUAUGAACUGUUGUAAGAUUAUGUCCGGAAGACGUUAAAUUUACAAGAUUAAAUUUUAUUUUGAUGGCUGAUGUGGCAUUUGACAUAGAAUUCAAUAUUCUAUCAAUUUAAUUCACAAUUUUAUUAUAAUCGGAAGCACACAUUAAAUAGUAAAAAUUUGGUUCAAGAAACAAAAGGAUUUCAACACUCGCAUGAACUUUUUGGUUGGAGCAUUUUCUCAUGCCAAAUUUUACCCGUUAAAAAUUUAUUAUGGUAUUUUGACAUUUUGGUUGGAGCAUUUUCUCAUGUCAAAUUUUACCCGUUAAAAAUUUACUAUGAUAUUUUAACAUUUCGAUUGGAGAUGUAUAAAUGUUAAAUAUGCAUUGAUUCAAGAUGCAUUUUUGUUUCUUAUUCUUGAGCUUUGAGCUUUAGGUAAUUAACUUGAAUGCUGUUGGGCACCUUGCACUAGUUGAUUAAAGAAAAAUAGACCCGAAGCAAGAUUCCUUGUAGUUGCCAAUUCGAAGUUUUCUUUAUCGCUACAUACUUACUGGUCUACAACUUCUCUCUCUAAUACAUAAUUUGACAUAAAUAAAUACAAUGAAGAGUGCAUUGACUAAACAAAACAAAACAAAAAAGCAGCACGUAAGCACUUACGUGCAUUUGGUGUAAAAGCUAAAGGCCUCUGAUUUAUGUAAGCAGUUACGCUAAUCAUAUUAUAUUAUAUGUAUCUUGGCUCUGUAAUUGUAACGGAAAUAACACUGUUUUGUUAUUCUCAACCAAUAACACAAUGAUACGUGGAAAAGUUAUUUCACGUGUCAUUGCGUUAUUGGUUGAGAUAUAUCUUUCCCUUUCAAUUUUUGUAAACAUAUAUACCAAAUGUUAUGCUCAAAUAUAUAUUAAUUGUUAGACAUUGUUACCUUAAAAAAAAAAAUGUAUUGCAAAAUACAAGUUUGAUCAUAUGAUUAAUUUAAUUUUGUUGGUGUAAACGUGCAGCCAAUAUAUGGGUAUGGAGUCUCUGGGCACCCAGAUUUGAAGGCAGGUGACUUAGUUUGGGGGACUACCUAUUGGGAAGAGUACAGCCGAAUCCCUGAACCCGAAGGCCUGAUCAAAAUCCAGCACACUGAUGUACCUCUAUCCUAUUAUACUGGAAUUCUUGGUAACAAGUCAAACCUAUUUUAGAUCAUGAUGAUAUGUGUUGGUUUAGAUACGUAAGUGUAUUUUUUGUAAUUUCAUUUCAGGUAUGCCUGGUUUGACCGCUUAUGUUGGUUUCUAUGAAAUUUGUUCUCCUAAGAAAGGAGAACAUGUCUUCAUUUCAGCAGCAGCUGGUGCUGUUGGUCAGCUUGUUGGACAAUUUGCAAAAUUAAUGGGUUGUUAUGUUGUUGGAAGUGCUGGCAGUAAGGAAAAGGUACGAACUUGAGAAAUCUUUGAACUUCAAAUUAAUAUUAUCUACACCAUUUUUUCUUGUUUGGGUUGUAUUUUGCCGUUGUUAUUUGGGCCAACUUUGGUGUUGGUUUGGGUUGGGGCUUCUGUUUGUGUUGUUGAAUUGGGUCUUUUAGUUGUUUUUGUAAACUCUGACUUAACCAUUUUCUUUGCGUGUGCUAAAUUUAUAAUUUUGACCAGUGUCACGCAGGAAAUGUUUCAUGCUUUGUUAACAGGGGACUUUAGAGGAGUAUUUUAUUCAGAUGAAAAGUGAUUCAUUCCUUUCCUUUAUGGAUUCAUCUUGUUAGGUUGAUCUAUUGAAGAAUGAGCUUGGAUUUGAUGAGGCUUUUAACUAUAAAGAAGAGACUGACUUGAAUGCGGCUUUCAAAAGGUACAUAUGAGUAAUGAUAGAGAGAUUAGAUUUAUAAACCCUAGCGUACCAUGAAUACAAUGAGUUUCAACUCUAUUAGACAAGUUGUUAUUUGACAGGUGGUAUACAAAGCAAUCUAUAAAUGUGAUCUCCCUAUUAUUUUUCGUAAAAUACAUAUUUAUUAUGUUAUACUAGUUUCCUUUAGUAAGAAAAGAAAGGAAAAAAACGAUUAUAAAGAAUUUGUGUGUUGUCAGGGUUCGUUAUUCGACUGGGCCAACUCAAAAAUUUUGGGUUCGAGUCGAGCCCUCAUGGGCCUAAAUGGGCCAGACUUUUUGUUUUAGAAAGUCUUUUAAAUCUUUUUGUUACACAUUUCAUUUUUUCAAAAGUGAUGGAUAUAGAGUAUUCUUUUAAACAAUAGUAUAGAUUACUACAUAAUUUAAGAAAACAAAAAUAUAAUGGCCAAACUUUUUUACUAAACCUAGACCAAUAACCAAUAUAUUUAAAAAAUAUUAUACCUAAAAAUGAAUCUUAUAAUGUGCAAUUUGUGCCUUAAUUAACUUAUAUCCCAAAUUAGGAUUGACAUCAUGAAAAUUAAAGCAACUUGUGCCUUUAAAAUUAAUAAACCCAGAAUAAGCUUUCAAAUUCUUUAUUGAACCAUUAAAUUUGAACUUGACAAAAAAGGGGCACUAAGAGAUAUGGUGCAUAUAUUGCUUGUUUGUUACAAAAUUUUAGACAACAUUGAAAAAAUUAACUUAAUUUAUAAUAUGUGUAAACAAAAAAAAAAAAAAAAAAAAAAGCAUAAGGGGGCGGGCCUAACCAUCCUGUUAGGCCGGACUUUGGCCCAUCAGGCCUCGGACUACCCACUUCGGGGCCGCGGGCCAAAUGAUGAUCCUUAUAUGUUGUAUAUGAUGCUUUGAAGCUUGAGCUUUCUUGAGUGAAGAAUAAAUUUUCUUUGUAAUUACCAUACACUUGUCAGGUAUUUCCCUGAAGGCAUUGAUAUUUACUUUGAGAAUGUUGGAGGCAAAACGCUAGACGCAGUGCUCCUCAACAUGAGAGUCCAUGGCCGCAUUGCUGUAUGUGGAAUGGUCUCACAGUACAAUCUUGAUCAAGCAGAAAGGGUAACAAAUUUGAUGCACCUUGUGUACAAACGUAUCCGCCUCCAUCGAUUUUCGGUAAGAGAUCACUAUCACCUCCAUCCGAAAUUCGUGGAGUUUAUGCUGCCUUACAUUAGGCAAGGAAAGAUUGUUUAUGUGGAAGACAUAGUUGAAGGCCUUGAGAGUGGUCCAAGAGCGCUGGUUGGACUUUUUAAGGGUCUUAACUUUGGAAAACAAGUAGUUGACGUCUCUGCAUG